GAUGAACGCUGGCGGCGUGCCUAACACAUGCAAGUCGAACGCAUAGAGAAAGGUACCUGCACCUUUCAGGUGAGGGGCGACCGGGUGUGUAACACGAGGACAACCUGUCGCGAGGCUGGGGGUAUAAUAUGGAAACAGAUGCCAAUACCGAAUAUAAGAUCGUGGCGCAUGACACAGAGAUAAUAGGCCCUUCGGCGUCACAAAGAGAUGUAAGCGCGGUGGAUUAGUUAGUUGGUGGGGUAAAGGCCUACCAAGACAAUGAUGCGUAGCUGAGUUGAGAGGAUGAUCAGCCCCAUUGGAACUGAGACACGGUCCAAACUCCUACGGGAGGCAGCAGUAGGGAAUAUUGGACAAUGGGCGAAAGCCUGAUGGAGCAAAGCCGCGUGUGUGAAGAAGGCUUUCGGGUUGUAAAGCACUGUUGUAUGGGAAGAAAAGCUAGAAGAGAAAAUGAUUUUGGUUUGACGGUACCAAAAGAGUAAGGGACGGCUAACUACGUG
rnacentral:rRNA from 1 species